rnacentral:rRNA from 1 species
GAGUUUGAUCAUGGCUCAGAUUGAACGCUGGCGGCAGGCCUAACACAUGCAAGUCGAACGGUAACAGGAAGAAGCUUGCUUCUUUGCUGACGAGUGGCGGACGGGUGAGUAAUGUCUGGGAAACUGCCUGAUGGAGGGGGAUAACUACUGGAAACGGUAGCUAAUACCGCAUAACGUCGCAAGACCAAAGAGGGGGACCUUCGGGCCUCUUGCCAUCGGAUGUGCCCAGAUGGGAUUAGCUAGUAGGUGGGGUAACGGCUCACCUAGGCGACGAUCCCUAGCUGGUCUGAGAGGAUGACCAGCCACACUGGAACUGAGACACGGUCCAGACUCCUACGGGAGGCAGCAGUGGGGAAUAUUGCACAAUGGGCGUAAGCCUGAUGCAGCCAUGCCGCGUGUAUGAAGAAGGCCUUCGGGUUGUAAAGUACUUUCAGCGGGGAGGAAGGGAGUAAAGUUAAUACCUUUGCUCAUUGACGUUACCCGCAGAAGAAGCACCGGCUAACUCCGUGCCAGCAGCCGCGGUAAUACGGAGGGUGCAAGCGUUAAUCGGAAUUACUGGGCGUAAAGCGCACGCAGGCGGUUUGUUAAGUCAGAUGUGAAAUCCCCGGGCUCAACCUGGGAACUGCAUCUGAUACUGGCAAGCUUGAGUCUCGUAGAGGGGGGUAGAAUUCCAGGUGUAGCGGUGAAAUGCGUAGAGAUCUGGAGGAAUACCGGUGGCGAAGGCGGCCCCCUGGACGAAGACUGACGCUCAGGUGCGAAAGCGUGGGGAGCAAACAGGAUUAGGUACCCUGGUAGUCCACGCCGUAAACGAUGUCGACUUGGAGGUUGUGCCCUUGAGGCGUGGCUUCCGGAGCUAACGCGUUAAGUCGACCGCCUGGGGAGUACGGCCGCAAGGUUAAAACUCAAAUGAAUUGACGGGGGCCCGCACAAGCGGUGGAGCAUGUGGUUUAAUUCGAUGCAACGCGAAGAACCUUACCUGGUCUUGACAUCCACGGAAGUUUUCAGAGAUGAGAAUGUGCCUUCGGGAACCGUGAGACAGGUGCUGCAUGGCUGUCGUCAGCUCGUGUUGUGAAAUGUUGGGUUAAGUCCCGCAACGAGCGCAACCCUUAUCCUUUGUUGCCAGCGGUCCGGCCGGGAACUCAAAGGAGACUGCCAGUGAUAAACUGGAGGAAGGUGGGGAUGACGUCAAGUCAUCAUGGCCCUUACGACCAGGGCUACACACGUGCUACAAUGGCGCAUACAAAGAGAAGCGACCUCGCGAGAGCAAGCGGACCUCAUAAAGUGCGUCGUAGUCCGGAUUGGAGUCUGCAACUCGACUCCAUGAAGUCGGAAUCGCUAGUAAUCGUGGAUCAGAAUGCCACGGUGAAUACGUUCCCGGGCCUUGUACACACCGCCCGUCACACCAUGGGAGUGGGUUGCAAAAGAAGUAGGUAGCUUAACCUUCGGGAGGGCGCUUACCACUUUGUGAUUCAUGACUGGGGUGAAGUCGUAACAAGGUA